AGGGGCAGCCUGGCGAGCAGGGACAGGCACCGGCUGGAGAGGGAGGGAAGGAGCCCGCCUCCCUCCCAGCCCUGCCUCUGCCUCUGGGCAGCCUGGGGCCACCCAAGCGGACUCCACGCUCAGCUGGCAGCCCUGGCUGCAGGCCUGCCCUGCCCUGCUGGGCUGCCUCCUGCCCCGCCGGGCUGCCUCCUGCCCCAUGCAGCAUUCUGCGGGGGGCUGGGGCGCAGCGGGGGAGCCUGGUGCCCAGAGGACCCUGCGCAGCCUCCAGUCCUACCCGGGGGGCUGGGGAAAGCUCCCGAACCUGGCACAGGCCGAGGACGGCUGCACAGGACAACGCUCCCGCCCUCAGGACUGGCAGUGAUCUGCUGCAGGCUUGUAGACCCCGGGAAGAGUCUGCUUGGUGAGUUCAAGACAGUCUCAACGCUCCCUCGUGUGUGUCCCGCUGUUGGCAGCUGUGGUUGGCCACGGCUGGGCCCGCAGGCUGGAGAGCCCAGCAGAGCUAGGCAGGAGCAGGGGAACACCCUGAGGCACACAGGUCUCUUCCUGUCACUGCAGACAGUCAGUAGUUGGUCUGGCGUGAGCAGGAAUUCUCAGAUCACCUCUUGGCUGUGAGUGGUGGUGCAGAGAGCACUGCACCUUUGCUGCAUGUCAAGCAAGGGAAGACGACAUGGAGGGGACAGAGAGGUCUCUCCCAUCUUUAACCGGUCUGUGGCUACAGGGGGAUCCAGCAUGGUCCAACCCCCAGGGCUGGCUACUGGCCAGACAUGCUGUCUGACUGCAGAGCCCUCCAGGUGCUAGCCCUCCAGCGAACGCCCCUUCAUUCACAUCUCUUGUUACUCACAAACCCAAUGCGAUCAGAUCUCCCUCAUACUGCCCAUGGGAAGCUGCGCUCCAAGGUGGGAUUUUCCCUCCUUUUGCCCCACGUGCCCUCCAUGGCUUACUGACCUUUGAGCAUGGGUUUGGCCUAGCGUUAGCUGAGAUGCCCUUUGGGGCGGGGAACUCAUCCUUCCACCCACCUGGUAGCACCAGGGCCACUGAGAGCACUAUACACCUAACAACAGUAUCCCUCGAGCAAACAUGGAGCCCCGAAAGGGGACUGUCCACCAUAUCAAGGGGAGCCAGACUGCCAGCUCUCAUAACAAGCAGCACUCACCAGGACUGGGAAAGCAGGGCAGACCCCCAAGCCUCAGCACACACUCUGUAGCUACCAUCUGGGGGGAUAUGAUAGAGGUCUGUAACAUCAUGAACGGUUUGGAGAUAGUGAAUAGGGAAGAGUUAUUUACCCCUUCAUAUAACACAAGAACCAGGGGUCACUGAUGAAAUUGACAGGCAGCAGAUUUAAACAAAACACAAGGCAGUACUUCUUCACACAACACACAGUCACCCUGUGGGACUCAUUGCCAGGGGAUGCUGUGAACGCCAAAGUAUAACUGGGUUCAAAAACUAAUUAAAUAAGUUCAGGGUAGAUAGGUCAAGCCAUGGCUAUUAGCCAAGAUACAACCUCACACUCUGGAUGUGCCUAAGCCUCUGAUCGCCAGACGUCGGGACUGGAAAACAGGGGAUGGCUCACUUGAUGAUUGCCUGUUCUCUUGAUUCUCAUUGAAGCACCUGGCACUGGCUGCUGGCAGCAGACAGGAUACUGGGCUAGAUGGACCUUUGUUCUGACCCAGCAUGGCCAUUCAUAUGUUCUGUGGCCCAGCGAAUCUCCCCAAGUUUCUGCUGGGAAAUAUCCUGUUUGUGCAUCAGCUACAUGUCACCUAAGGAAAGAGAGCUCAAUGGCACUUUGGGCACCCAUGUCAAUGCCAACCACCAGUGCCAUAGUGGCAGGAGAGACCAGGAUGCAGGGAGAAUGUGCCAAAGAAGGCUAAGCUGACAGGCUUCAAAUCCCCUUGGCCUGCCUCUAGAUCCUGCUGCUGGAGGUCCUUGAUUUGCUUUGGGCCUCUAGGCACUACUGUACCGCACAGCAGGCAGUCUGCUGUGGAGAAGAGUGGGACUAAGUGCAGCAGCUGUGGUCAGUUCCAGCUUGGGCCGUGAAAUCCCCCCUUCCUAAAUUCCCAUCUCAUCUCCGCUGGGUUCUGCCGCUUUUCUGCAGUUUGCAAAAAUACCAAGCUACUGCACAACAAACAGCAUAGGGCCUAAUAACGGUGACCCACCUUGGUGAAGCACUUUGAGAUCUAUAGAUUAAACGGCUACCAAAGUGCUAAGCAUAUUAACAAUUGUUACAGGCAGCAGAGGACUAAGAGUUUUAUUUGCUCUAGGACAGGGCAAUAUAUGUCUUUCUUUGUCUAAAGAUCCUCCACUGGGAAGCAAUGGGUAAAGUUCCUAGAUAGUGACCCUUCUGCCCCCACAGGGCCUGCUCUGUCCACAGACUGUUAGCCCACAGGGAAGAGACAUGGGGAGGAGGAGAAUGAGGUAGGGGAAGGAAGUGGAAGAGGGGUAGAGGUUUUUUACCCAUGAAAGCUUAUGCCCAAAUAAAUCUGUUAGUCUUUAAGGUGCCACUGGACUCCCUGUCGUUUUUUUGGGGUAGGUGAGUGGCUCUAGUGGUUCCAAUUUCUUUGGAAGCCAUCUGUUGAGCAAAUUCAGCCAUUGCCCAUGGCCUUCAGUGGUGGGCUUCAACUGGCCUGAAGUUUGGGCUGCCCAAGUUCCAUCCCAGGACUGAACGAGUUCUGUUAAACAGGAAUUGGGAGGUCAGACUAGCUGCUCACAAUGCUCUAAGACCUUCGGUUCUGUGACUAUAAACAGGCCUUUGAAACGAUGCCAGGAGGAACAUAGCGGUGUAGAUCUAAUGGAGAGUCUGACAGCACAUUCUGAUCGUUGUCUAUCUCCUUUCCUGUCGUGCCUGAUUAACGAGAUGUGCUGGCUCUCCCCUGAGCAGCCUCCCCCUCCUCAGCAGUACUCUCUGUGAGUUAUUGCCCCCACGCAUGGGAACAGGCCAGUGUAGAAUAUUAGUGAUCUCAGAGAAGGGAACAGGCUUGUGAGUGUGUGGAGGGAGCUGGAGCAGGUUUCUCUUUGUAGACAAACUCCUUUAUGGCUGAGAAAGAAAUAGACCUAAUGGAGUUUCAGUAAAGGGUUUACUUGGCCAGCACAUGGUCAUGUCCUUCAGUGGGUCAAAGGCCCAAGCUGCAGAAGCCCAUGCUCAGAGUUGUUAGGGUCACAACAGCUGUGUCUGUCCCCAUAGCAGAUGCUAGCAGGUUCCUCUUAGAUCAGCAACUUCAGCACCUGUUCAGUCACAUUCAAGCCACCUACCUUCGCCCAAAAGUUAGACACACUGUCAAGUUCCAGAUUUCAACAUGCAGCAUAUUUCCCACCUAUAUUGCCAUUAACCUCCGAGAGCCUGCGAGGUGCCAAAUGUCCCGAACUCCCAAUGACUUCAGGGCAGUUAUUUGGUCUGUAAAAAUGCUCAGCAUCCUUUUGGGCGCCAUAAAUAAUACAUUAACCAGAAAAAAGCCCAUUUCCUGGCCCCUGUGUUGCACAGGCUGGUUGCAUUCCUCUCAGCUGGACAAGGAAGCUGAUUAGCCCCUUUCACUUUUGUUUCUGAUCAGUUUCAAAUUGUUUAAUUUUCUGAGUUGUGAACACCUCAAGAUCCAAACAAAUAACUGUCUGUUCUAGAGUCUACGAAAUCUGUGAUGAAAACAUUUCAGCUGGUCUUUGGUGUCCUGGCAUGUUCCUUUAACAAAACCUGCACGUGAGGCU